AAAUUCGAAGAAAAUGGCGACAGCAUUUUCAGAUGAAACUUAUCCAUUGAAAUCCGGCUAUUUGAAGAAUGAUUUUCUCAUCAGUUAUCAUCAAAAAGAAAUAGCUCACGCAAGCCAAUUCACGCCUGGUGUUUGGAAGAACGUCCAAAGAGAUGUGGCAUUUCUGCUGUUGAUAUCUGAGAUGUUUCAGGAUAAUGUCAAAGACUGAAACGUUGGGUUCUUUCACAAUGGAAGAAUUUGAGGAAUCUGAGGAGG